UACGUAGGGUCCGAGCGUUAAUCGGAAUUACUGGGCGUAAAGCGUGCGCAGGCGGUUUUGUAAGCCAGAUGUGAAAUCCCCGAGCUUAACUUGGGAACUGCAUUUGGGACUGCAAAGCUGGAGUACGGCAGAGGGAGGUGGAAUUCCACGUGUAGCAGUGAAAUGCGUAGAUAUCGGGAAGAACACCAAAGGCGAAAGCGCUCUGCUGGGCCGAAACUGACACUGAGAGACGAAAGCUAGGGGAGCGAAUGGG
rnacentral:rRNA from 1 species